UCCGGUAUUAUUCCAUAGGAGAAGCAAGACAUUGUGUCUGUGCGUGCUGACCUGCCUUCUCUCUUGUGGCCUCACUUCGCCUUCCUCCCAAACGCAGCGCCCAAUCACGCUGCUCAUCGUGUCGGCGUGUUCAUCAGCACGCAGCCCAGCGCACGGAAGAUCUUUAGCCCCCUUCCCCGCACCCAUCCACCCACCCACCCACCCCCCACACACACAUAAUGAACCUUGACAACUACUUCGCCAAGUUCCUGCAGAAGGGCAGCGGCCGGAGCGCAAUAGGAGGCAAGUUGGAGGAAGUCACGCCCUCCUCCGCCGCCGCCGCCGGGGUUUGUGUGCCGGUGGCACCAGCCACCGCCACCUCGUCGAAGCAGUUCAGCGAAGUAGAGGGCCACACGCCUUCGCAGGGUGGAGGUCAAUCACCCGAGGACGCGGCCGAAGCGCAGGUUCAGCCUUCGUGCGUCUCACCGAACGCAGCCGGCGACCUGUGUUACCGGCGUCAGCGAAAGUCGGACGCUGGUGCAACGGAGAGGAUGACCGUCACCGCAUCGUCGGUGAGCACACACCAGCGUGCACCGUCAUUGAAGAGGUCUCGCGAGGCGGCAGUGGGGAUAUCGUCCUCUCCCGCUCCGUCUCAGUCGGCGAUGGACGCGCCGGCGGCAAAGAGGCUCCUCACAUGCCGCGCAGCCUCGGAGGACGCCGAUGAUGAACUCGAGCUACUGCUGGGCUCGCAGAAGGCAAAGCAGGUGCGCGAGGCGGACGCCAUGCUGGAGGACGUGGCUCGUGCGCAGCAGGCCCCCUCGCCGCCGUUGUCGUCGUCGUCACCUGGGCAAGUUAGCAACGGCGUCGUGGGCACCUCCAGUGCGUGUGCGGUGGGUAGCCUCGCCUGGCAAACGUCGUCCUCAGCGACGCGAGAGACCAUCGCACGUUACUUCCAACGCCAGCUGGAGUGGGAGCUGCACCACAGUGCCGACCUUUUCGCCGCCUUCGAGCCCUUCUUCAAGGACCGCGCACUGGACCGCAUCGCCGCCGACGAUGCGCUGCGGCCGGUGCUGCACGCCGCGCCGCUGUCCAUUACGAGCGAGACAGUGGGAGCCCUGCCGGGGUGCGCGCUGCGCUCCUACCAGGUGGAGGGCGUGCAGUUCCUCCUGAGCCACUUCCAUCGCGGCAUGUCAGCUAUCCUCGGUGAUGACAUGGGCCUCGGCAAGACUGCGCAGGUGUCCGCCUUCCUACACACCCUGAAGCAGCUGCACAACAUCGACGGUCCACACCUCAUCGUCGCCCCUCUUUCCACACUGACGAGCUGGACGCGUGAGCUGGCGCGGUGGGCACCGCAGCUGCGGGUGUUGAAGUACCACGGUGAGCGCCGUACACGCGCCGCCAUCAGCUCCGGCCGCCACAACCGCCACGCCGUAUUCGUGACGACGCCGGCGCUCCUCCACCUCGAUAAGCGCUUCUUCCGUAAGCGCGCGUGGGUGACGGUCGUGGUGGACGAGGCGCACGUGCUCAAGGCGCACGACACGGCCAUCACGUCCGCGUCACGGAAGCUCACAGCAUGCUACCGGGUCGCGGUGACGGGCACGCCAGUGCACAACAACGUGCAGGAAGUGUGGAGUCUGAUGAGCUUUCUCUACCCCUGGCUCAUGGCCUCCUACGAUCCACGAGCGCGCGACCCGGUGCGGCAGGCGGAGGAGUGUGCCAAGGUGCUGCAGUACAUCAUGCUGCGCCGCACCAAGGCAGACAUGGAGCUCGGCAUCCCGCCUCGCGUGGAUGAGCCGCUGACGAAGCUGGUGCCGACCGACAUACAGCUGCAGCUGCUCUCCUUGCUGACAGCACACGCUCUGCAGGAAAGUAGCACUGGCCAUCAACUGCAUGGCCACCUCAGCCACCAGAGGGCCGUGUGCAACCACCCACUGGCGCUGCGUCUGCUGGCGGACAAGGGGCGCACGCACGGGUCGCAGGAGUCAGCCGAGAAACGCAUGCGAGCUGCCGGAGUGCCCAUGGACGCGGCGCACCUCAUCGACCCCAGCGCCAAGAUGCGCUACCUCGACACGCUGCUGCCGCAGCUGAAGGCACAAGGACACCGCUGCCUGAUCUUCUCGAACUUCACCACAACGCUGGAUCUGCUCGAAGCCAUGUGCCACCUGCGCGGCCACAGCUACGAGCGGCUUGACGGCAGCUGCAACCGAGUCGAGCGGGAGCUGUCGAUGUUGCGCUACAAUCACCCCGCCUCCUCGUGCUUUCUCUUUCUGGUCACCACCACCGCCGGAGGCGUCGGCGUCACCCUCACCGGCGCUGACACGGUGAUUCUCUUCGACGCACACUUCAACCCGCAGCUUGAUCGGCAGGCAGCGGACCGGGCGCACCGCAUCGGUCAAACACGCACUGUGCACGUAUACCGGUUGUGCCUGCAGGGCACCAUCGAGGAGCAUAUCCGCGACAUUGCAGCCCGCAAGGCGUACCUCGGCGACUUCAUCGUCGAAGGAGGCCAGCGUCACGGCGCGCGUGGGCGCGGCCGCUGUGCCGACGACGGCGCUAAUACCCCGUGCAUCACCGCGGACGACAUUCGCGAAAUGUUUCAGCAGCUCGACGAAAAGCAACACGCGAAGCAGCAGACCGACGGAUCCUCUGUUUCUUCACCGACUUUACUGCGCCCCUCCGACGGGGCGGAGGGCAGCAACAGUAGCGCUAGCCAAACGGCGGCGGACGCGAUGGUGAAGGACCUCCUACGUGUGGUAAAAAAAGGUCUGCAAGGCGCUGCGGCUACCGCGGGAAUCCGUGGCGGUGGCCGUGGACUUGCCUCGCCGCCCAAGCAGACGCACAGCUGCUUCUGCUGCGGUGGCAUCAUGUAUCCAAUGGAGCCGCUGCUGCACUGCAUGGUGUGCCCGAAGGCUUACCACGCCGCCUGUAUCGGCGAGCGGCCGCCGAGGCCGGGGGAGGCGGUGAAGCGCUUCUGGUCGUGCCCGCGGCAUGAAUGCUUUUUGUGUGGCAAGCAGCAGGCGGCCGAUGGCGCCAUCUUCAUGUGCGACGCGUGCCCUCGCUCCUUCUGCUUCGACUGCCUCGACCCGCGCUACCUUGAGAUGGACGCGUCCGGGGCCCGAUUGCUGCACAUCCGUGACACCUACGCUGGGAUGGAGGAGGAGGAGGUGGAGCCGAGGCGGUCUUGCUACUAUGUAACGUGUCUGCGGUGCUGUGGACUGCUCUCGUCGUCGAGCUCUGCCUCGGAAGACACGGACGAAGUCGAUAGUGAUGAGGACGACGUUGGUGGCUGUGGCACGGCGACCGCGGUGGACAGCGACGGCCUCGCAAGUGUUGAUGGCCACGGCGAUGCAAGCGUCGAGGACGGCGACAACUGAUGGAAUGGCCUCGUGUGUCCCCUUCUCUCUCUCUGGUAUAUGGGAGAGGGAGAAAAGGUGUGGCAGGCAACCGUCGGAUGGAGGAUGGAUAGUACGAACAGAGCGCCUCACGUACCGAGGCGACACAUGUCUGUGUCCGCCAGUCUGUGCCGGUUAGAGAUGUACCAUCGGCAUUACAGUCAUGGUCCCUUACACUGCACGCAUACCCAUAGACAUAUACACACAUAUGUAUAUCUUCCUCCCGUGCCUCUCUGCCUAACGGUGGAUGACAGCUCCCUCACCGACUCCCUCCCUGUCGUGCGUGGAUACGCGCUUUCGUUUGUUGUCGCCGGCGAUUUGGGCGGCAGCGACGAGAAGAACGAGAGAGACGGGGAAGGCGAGGCGGACCUGCGUCGGGUUUGGCUGAGAGGGCCGUACCGCCUUGCGUUGCAGGAGGAGGCGAACGAAAGCCCCGGCG
rnacentral:misc_RNA from 1 species